AUUUCAGCUGCAACAUUUAAAUGGUAGGGUAAGAAUUUGGUGUAAACAUCAUGAAACAUGGCUCCAUCCUGCCUUGUAUCUAUGGUUCAGGCUGCUGGUGGUGCUAAUAAUAUGGGACUAU